AUUGAACGCUGGCGGCGUGCCUUACACAUGCAAGUCGAACGGCAGCACGGGUGCUUGCACCUGGUGGCGAGUGGCGAACGGGUGAGUAAUACAUCGGAACGUACCUUAUCGUGGGGGAUAACGCAGCGAAAGCUGUGCUAAUACCGCAUACGCCCUGAGGGGGAAAGCGGGGGAUCGCAAGACCUCGCGCGAUUAGAGCGGCCGAUGCCUGAUUAGCUUGUCGGUGGGGUAAAAGCCCACCAAGGGGACGAUCAGUAGCUGGUCUGAGAGGACGAUCAGCCACACUGGGACUGAGACACGGCCCAGACUCCUACGGGAGGCAGCAGUGGGGAAUUUUGGACAAUGGGGGCAACCCUGAUCCAGCAAUGCCGCGUGAGUGAAGAAGGCCUUCGGGUUGUAAAGCUCUUUUGUCAGGGAAGAAACACCGGCUCUAACACAGUCCGGGAAUGACGGUACCUGAAGAAUAAGCACCGGCUAACUACGUGCCAGCCGCCGCGGUAA
rnacentral:rRNA from 1 species